rnacentral:lncRNA from 1 species
AUUGUCCACUGAAUUUAUUUGAUAAAGACAUACUGUUAGGAGCAAGCAAUAUGCACACACAAAUGUUGGUAUGUUUGCUGUUCUUCAUGUUUGAAAUUUCUGCAGGUAAGACUUCAGUUUAUUUUUCUUCAUGUCAAAGAAUGAUUUAUUUGUGAACUGGCGUAUACUAAAUUUAGUCCUGGUAUCUAUGAUGAGUUAAUAUACAUAACCUAAACAAAGAAAAGAUAAUGGUUAAUGAAAUAAGUGUUUAAUGAAUGAAUAAAAACUAAUUUAGUUAGGUUUGUGGUUUAAUAUUUUCAACGAUAUUUUGUAUUGAUGCGAGUUGAAAUAUUGUGAUGGCAUCAGCAGAGAAUUUUAUCCUUUUAAAUCUUAGAUGUGUUUCUAAAAGUGAGUUUCAUUGAUGUCAGGUGAAUUGUUAAGAAAAGAAAGUAACUUCAGAUAUAUAAACACGUCGAUUAAACAGCUGAACUAAACGUUUCCAUCUUUACCUUCCUUAAUGUAGGAUGACAUUAAUACAUAUAUAAUGUAAUGAUAGAACUCAUUAUCAAAAUAGUUAAAAAGAACUCUUAACUCAAUAGGCUUUAAACAUGACAAACACAGAAAUAGGAUCAGUUGCUCAUUUUUUCAUGUUCACAUAUUAUAUUUUCCAAUAUCAUCAACUUCAAAUUAUAUUUUCCAAUAUCAUCAACUUCAAAUUUCAGGCAUCACGGAGUUUCCAUGCAAAUUUCCCUGUGAAUGGCGCAACAAAACAUUUAAUAUCUAUAGACAUGGACGAUUAAUUUACAAAUGGAAAUUUAGUAGUGAUGGUGUAGUGUUUGUUUUCAGUCCUAUCAACAUAAAUACU